ensembl:snRNA U2 U2 spliceosomal RNA
UGUAGUAUCUGUUCUUAUCAGUUUAAUAUCUGAUACGUCCCCUACCCGGGGAC